rnacentral:tRNA from 1 species
GGGGCGAUUAGCUCAGUUGGUAGAGCAUCUCCUUUACACGGAGGGGGUCGGCGGUUCGAGGCAGUUGACUUUUAAUCAAUUGGUCGCAGGUUCGAAUCCUGCACGACCCACCA